AGGGAAUCUUCCGCAAUGGACGCAAGUCUGACGGAGCAACGCCGCGUGAGUGAUGAAGGCCUUCGGGUCGUAAAACUCUGUUGUUAGGGAAGAACAAGUAUCGGAGUAACUGCCGGUACCUUGACGGUACCUAACGAGGAAGCCACGGCUAACUACGUGCCAGCAGCCGCGGUAAUACGUAGGUGGCAAGCGUUGUCCGGAUUUAUUGGGCGUAAAGGGCGCGCAGGCGGUCUCUUAAGUCUGAUGUGAAAUCUUGCGGCUCAACCGCAAGCGGUCAUUGGAAACUGGGAGACUUGAGUGCAGAAGAGGAGAGUGGAAUUCCACGUGUAGCGGUGAAAUGCGUAGAGAUGUGGAGGAACACCAGUGGCGAAGGCGACUCUCUGGUCUGUAACUGACGCUGAGGCGCGAAAGCGUGGGGAGCAAAC
rnacentral:rRNA from 1 species